rnacentral:rRNA from 1 species
AACGAACGCUGGCGGCAGGCUUAACACAUGCAAGUCGAGCGCUCCGCAAGGGGAGCGGCAGACGGGUGAGUAACGCGUGGGAAUCUACCCAUCUCUACGGAAUAACGCAUGGAAACGUGUGCUAAUACCGUAUACGUCCUUCGGGAGAAAGAUUUAUCGGAGAUGGAUGAGCCCGCGUUGGAUUAGCUAGUUAGUGGGGUAAAGGCCUACCAAGGCGACGAUCCAUAGCUGGUCUGAGAGGAUGAUCAGCCACACUGGGACUGAGACACGGCCCAGACUCCUACGGGAGGCAGCAGUGGGGAAUAUUGGACAAUGGGCGCAAGCCUGAUCCAGCCAUGCCGCGUGAGUGAUGAAGGCCCUAGGGUUGUAAAGCUCUUUCGCCGGUGAAGAUAAUGACGGUAACCGGAGAAGAAGCCCCGGCUAACUUCGUGCCAGCAGCCGCAGUAAUAC